rnacentral:rRNA from 1 species
UACGAAGGGGGCUAGCGUUGUUCGGAUUUACUGGGCGUAAAGCGCGUGUAGGCGGGUCGUUAAGUUGGGGGUGAAAUCCCGGAGCUCAACUCCGGAACUGCCCUCAAAACUGGCGACCUGGACCCAAGUAGAGGCAAGUGGAAUUGCGAGUGUAGAGGUGAAAUUCGUAGAUAUUCGCAGGAACACCAGUGGCGAAGGCGACUUGCUGGACUUGUGGUGACGCUGAGAAGCGAAAGCGUGGGGAGCAAACAGG